CUGGCCUCAAAUCAGGUAGGGCUACCCGCUGAACUUAAGCAUAUCAAUAAGCGGAGGAAAAGAAACUAACUAGGAUUCCCUUAGUAACGGCGAGUGAACCGGGAUGAGCUCAAAUUUAAAAUCUGGCGUCUUUCAGGCGUCCGAGUUGUAAUCUAUAGAGGCGUUUUCCGCGCCGGACCGCGUCCAAGUCUCUUGGAAUAGAGUAUCAAAGAGGGUGACAAUCCCGUACUUGACGCGACAACCGGUGCUCUGUGAUACGUUCUCAAUGAGUCGAGUUGUUUGGGAAUGCAGCUCUAAAUGGGUGGUAAAUUCCAUCUAAGGCUAAAUAUUGGCGAGAGACCGAUAGCGAACAAGUACCGUGAGGGAAAGAUGAAAAGCACUUUGGAAAGAGAGUUAAACAGCACGUGAAAUUGUUAAAAGGGAAACGAUUGAAGUCAGUCGUGUGAAAGGUAUUCAGCCGUCUCUGGCGGUGUAUUUGCCUUUCACGGGUCAACAUCAGUUUGAUCCGGUAGAAAAAGGCGGGAGGAAGGUGGCACCCUCGGGUGUGUUAUAGCCUCCUGUCAUAUGUGCCGGACCAGACUGAGGAACGCAGCUUGCCGCAAGGCCGGGGUUCGCCCACGUACAAGCUAGGAUG
rnacentral:rRNA from 1 species